rnacentral:lncRNA from 10 species
CUUUCACCUCCUUGGUUAAGUAUAUUACUAGGUGUUUUAUUUCUUUGCAGCUGCUGUGAAAGGGGUUCAGUUCUUCUCAACUUGGUUGUUUUUGAUGUACAGCAGUGCUACUGAUUUGUGUAAAUUGAUUUUGUAACCUGAGACUUUACUGAACUCCUUUAUCAAAUCUAGGAGUCUUUAGGGUUUUCUAGGUAUACAAUUAUACCAUUGGUAAACAGUAGUAGUUUGACUUCCUUUUUUCUUAUUUGGAAACCCUAUAUUUUCUUCUCUUUCCUGAUUGCUCUGGCUAGGACUUCCAUUACUAUGUUGAACAGAAGUGGUGAAAGUGGGCAUCCUUGUCUUGUUCCAGUACUCAGGGGGAAAGCUUUCAACUUUUCUCCAUUCACUAUGAUGUUGGCUGUGGGUUUGUCAUAGAUGGCUUUGAUUCAUUUGAGACAGACCACCUUGCAAAGGACAGCUGCAUACUCAACCUGCCGCUGUUUCUCCUGGAGGCCAACCUGGUGACCUUCCUCUUCCCUCUGGACCGCCUGAGAAGGGCGGCAGAAAAGGAGAUGGUGACAAGAUGCCUCUGCACAACCUCGCCAUGGUUUUGGCCCCAUGAUGCUCUGGCUUUCUAGUCUUCAUUGCUUUGUCUCCAACUCAAGCAUAGUUUUUGUUUGUUUGUUUGUUUGUUUUACUCAUUCUUGAGAGGAAGCCAUUAGCUUUCUUUGGAUGCUUUGUCAUUUAUCUUAUGUGACUACACCAGUUAAUCAAAGGAUCACUUGCUGCUCUUCUUCCACUAAAACAACACCCACUUCAUGCUCAUUGUCUAAAGUGGGGGCAUCAUUUGUAACUACAGAUACUAAUUGUGGGGAUCCCAGGUUUAUUAUGUGGGAGAGACUGAGACUCCCCUCAUCUGUCCCCUGAGGAGGGUUCAUAGGUGAGUGAGAAAGGGACAAGGCAGCGAUGUGGACAUCUCCCCACAUUGCCCAAGGGGCAUUGCUUCCUAGUGAGGAAACUCUCGCUGCAGUUUUCUGGCAGGGAAAUAAUACAAUCUCCAGAUCAUUUAUCAAUUUUGUUUUUUUUAAAUAAAUAUUUUGCCAUUAUUAGAUGAGUAUAUAAAAAAUAAAUAAUAUGGAUUUAUCUUGCAGUGUACCAUUUAACUCCAUCCCAAAAUAGAUCUAUUAUCUUCUCUUUUGUUCAAUGAAUACUAUUCAUACCUAGGCAAAACUGUUGCUGUUACUCAUGAUUUAAGGGCAUUAGGAAUACAACUCUAGGGAAAAAAUACUGCUAUUGGAAACCAAAAAGAGUGUCUGGGACAGGUGUCAAUCUAUUUAGAGGUUUUUUUCACCAAGGUUGAGGAUGCACCCGGGAAAAAGAGACACAAGCCACAGUGGAAUCUGUGGCCUGCACUUUUUCCAAAGAGUUUUGAGGGUUUCAAUAUUUAUAGGGGAAAAAGCAGGCCAAAGGGAAAGGAAAGAAGACAAAAAGGGGAGAGUAGAAAAAAUGAGACAAGUGGUCUCAUUGUCUUGAGGCUUUCAUUAGUUCUCACUGAAGCCACAGGUUGCCCAUGAAAAGGAGGGGGUAGAGGAACAGCUGAUUAUGUGCUCGCCUGGCACUGGUAAGGCUGCACCUCACAUGAGAUAAAGCAAACAUAGAGUAGAGGAAGCAUCAACAUGCAUUUGUCUUGGGGUGGUGGUAGGAAUAUUUCUAGUUUCCUUUUGUCCUGUAUCCCUGAAGAUAAGUUGCUAAUUUACAUGGUCAGGGUGAGGGAGGUAACCUGGAAAGAUAUGUUUAGGAACAAAAGGAAAGAUGGUUUCUGGGUGUGACUCAGUUUCCAAGUUUAACUUUCCCUUUUGGCAUAGCGAGUUUGGGGUCCCAACAUUUUAUUUUCCUUUUACACUAUUGACUACUAACAGUCUUUGUUGUUAAAUUCCAUCUGUUUUAAAAUUUUAAUAAAAUAUUUAUAUCAUAAAAUAUAAAUUAUUCACUUAUAAGAUUAAUAUAAAUAAUAUUAACAAAACAUUGUCUUGAAAAAUGUAGUUUGACAAAGUUUCAAUCUGAGUAAAAGAUAGUAUCUUAAAUACAGUAUUUUUUCACUGCUGGUGAGAGAGAAUCUAAACUUUCUGUGAAGACUAAGAAAGUCUCACAUUCUUGGUGCACGCCAGGAAGCCCCGUGUUCCUUGGAUGUGGAGGAGUUGAACAUGAAGGAGCUGGCUGUGAUGUCAGCAUGUGAAGGUGGAGGAACUCCAGCCCAGGAGGGGCUCCUGGAUCCACCCGCCCCAGAUGGACUCGAGGUGGGGAAGGCAGCCUGGAGGCUUGGGAGGCCUGAGUAGAGAGGAGGGAACAGCGCUCCCUUAAGACCCAGGCCCACUCCCAGGGAAGGGAGCAGCAGGGCCACACUCUUGGCCACCUUGGAAGAGCUCCUUGCUGUGGGCUGAUUCCCACGACCUUGUCUAGGGAUUCCAGCAUUUUAGGUAGCUCCUCCAUUGCCUUCGUUGGUUAGAGCAUUUGGAACUUUUCUUUUUCACUUCUCGAACCAAAGAAGUUAAUUCCUUCAUCGAUACCAAGUUGGCACUCUUCACCUUUUUGUAAGCAUCUGCAAGGCUGGGAAUAUUUAAAGACUCCUUCUUUAGCCAGGCAUUCUCUAGUGCUGCCUCCAUCUCUGCAUACUCCUUUUUCAAAACACCAAGCUUCUAAAUGAAUUGAUUUUUUUCUCACAUUCUGCAGCCUGUGUUUUGUGAGUCACUUUUCAUGUCUUACAUAAAGUCAGCUUCUAACAGAUUCAACAAGUCUGAACAAAAAUAAAAGACCUACCAAGAAGCUGAUGAGACCAGUGUCUCCCCUGAUGGCUUUGGAAAGUGAGUUGUGGACUGAAGCCAUUGGGCAGCAUCUUAUAUAUCACCUCACACAUUUCGUAAAUAUCAGCCCCAAACGAAGUUUCACAGAAGAUCCCGGCCCCUCCAUCCCUGCAACCAUGGAUUCUGCACCACAACAAACCCUGGGGAACACCUCAGCAUUCCACCUGGAAUCAACCAGGAACAGGCAGCCUAUACUAGUCAGUUUCAUGGUCACCAUCAAGGAGGAUUAGUAAAUAAACAUGCUUGUCUCCUUACUGUCUAGUAAUCAGUCUUCUUUACCUGUUUCUUAUUGUAUGUGUAUCAACAGACAAUUAAAAUAUAGUGAAAGGUGCCAAUCUUAAGUGUAUAGCUUGAAUAAGCCUUUAAAAUGUUAUACCCCCACUGCGUCCUGCAACCCUAUCAAGGUAUGAGUCCUGUGUAUCAACACAGAAAUCCCCCCCAGUUCCUUUCCAAUCAGUGUCCACUCGCCCUGACUCACGCAGCCUUGGAGAAGGUUGCUCUGAACACAUCCCAGUUGAGCCUCAGCAUCAAGGUCAUGGAAUCAAUUACAAUGUGCUUUCUGAUCUCUGCCUGCUUUGCUCAAAGUGUUUUUGAAACUUAUCUGUUCU